rnacentral:rRNA from 1 species
GGCUCAGGAUGAACGCUAGCUACAGGCUUAACACAUGCAAGUCGAGGGGCAUCAGGAAGAAAGCUUGCUUUCUUUGCUGGCGACCGGCGCACGGGUGAGUAACACGUAUCCAACCUGCCCUUUACUCGGGGAUAGCCUUUCGAAAGAAAGAUUAAUACCCGAUGGCAUAAUGAUUCCGCAUGGUUUCAUUAUUAAAGGAUUCCGGUAAAGGAUGGGGAUGCGUUCCAUUAGGUUGUUGGUGAGGUAACGGCUCACCAAGCCUUCGAUGGAUAGGGGUUCUGAGAGGAAGGUCCCCCACAUUGGAACUGAGACACGGUCCAAACUCCUACGGGAGGCAGCAGUGAGGAAUAUUGGUCAAUGGGCGCUAGCCUGAACCAGCCAAGUAGCGUGAAGGAUGAAGGCUCUAUGGGUCGUAAACUUCUUUUAUAUAAGAAUAAAGUGCAGUAUGUAUACUGUUUUGUAUGUAUUAUAUGAAUAAGGAUCGGCUAACUCCGUGCCAGCAGCCGCGGUAAUACGGAGGAUCCGAGCGUUAUCCGGAUUUAUUGGGUUUAAAGGGAGCGUAGGUGGACUGGUAAGUCAGUUGUGAAAGUUUGCGGCUCAACCGUAAAAUUGCAGUUGAUACUGUCAGUCUUGAGUACAGUAGAGGUGGGCGGAAUUCGUGGUGUAGCGGUGAAAUGCUUAGAUAUCACGAAGAACUCCGAUUGCGAAGGCAGCUCACUGGACUGCAACUGACACUGAUGCUCGAAAGUGUGGGUAUCAAACAGGAUUAGAUACCCUGGUAGUCCACACAGUAAACGAUGAAUACUCGCUGUUUGCGAUAUACAGUAAGCGGCCAAGCGAAAGCAUUAAGUAUUCCACCUGGGGAGUACGCCGGCAACGGUGAAACUCAAAGGAAUUGACGGGGGCCCGCACAAGCGGAGGAACAUGUGGUUUAAUUCGAUGAUACGCGAGGAACCUUACCCGGGCUUAAAUUGCAGUGGAAUGAUGUGGAAACAUGUCAGUGAGCAAUCACCGCUGUGAAGGUGCUGCAUGGUUGUCGUCAGCUCGUGCCGUGAGGUGUCGGCUUAAGUGCCAUAACGAGCGCAACCCUUAUCUUUAGUUACUAACAGGUCAUGCUGAGGACUCUAGAGAGACUGCCGUCGUAAGAUGUGAGGAAGGUGGGGAUGACGUCAAAUCAGCACGGCCCUUACGUCCGGGGCUACACACGUGUUACAAUGGGGGGUACAGAAGGCAGCUAGCGGGUGACCGUAUGCUAAUCCCAAAAUCCUCUCUCAGUUCGGAUCGAAGUCUGCAACCCGACUUCGUGAAGCUGGAUUCGCUAGUAAUCGCGCAUCAGCCACGGCGCGGUGAAUACGUUCCCGGGCCUUGUACACACCGCCCGUCAAGCCAUGGGAGCCGGGGGUACCUGAAGUACGUAACCGCAAGGAUCGUCCUAGGGUAAAACUGGU